AGGGUUGUAGCUCAGUGGCUGAGCAUCUGCCCUGCAUGUAGAAGUUCCGGGUUCAAUCCCCAGCAUCUCGG